UUUUCAUCAACCGAUACAGGUUCCCGGAAUACAACCGGGAUUAAUAGGGAAUCGUGUGCAAAUCACGAGCUGUCGCGCAACUGUAAAUUCUGUCUUUUAUUAAAAAGACAACGGUCUUAUCAUUCAUGCCACUGUGCCGUUUACCGGGAUGGGAAGGCGAUAAGAUCGGGAAUAAGUCAGGAGACCUGCCUAUAUUGAAUUGACGGUG
rnacentral:ncRNA from 18 species